UCCUACGGAGGCAGCAGUGGGGAAUAUUGGACAAUGGGCGAAAGCCCGAUCCAGCAAUGCCGCGUGAGUGAUGAAGGCCCUAGGGUUGUAAAGCUCUUUUACCCGGGAUGAUAAUGACAGUACCGGGAGAAUAAGCUCCGGCUAACUCCGUGCCAGCAGCCGCGGUAAUA
rnacentral:rRNA from 1 species